rnacentral:rRNA from 1 species
UGGGGAAUAUUGCACAAUGGGGGAAAGACCCUGAUGCAGCGACGCCGCGUGAAGGAAGAAGUAUCUCGGUAUGUAAACUUCUAUCAGCAGGGAAGACAAUGACGGUACCUGACUAAGAAGCCCCGGCUAACUACGUGCCAGCAGCCGCGGUAAUACGUAGGGGGCAAGCGUUAUCCGGAUUUACUGGGUGUAAAGGGAGCGUAGACGGAUCUGCAAAGUCUGGAGUGAAAGCCCGGGGCUCAACCCCGGGACUGCUUUGGAAACUGUGGAUCUAGAGUGCCGGAGAGGUAAGCGGAAUUCCUAGUGUAGCGGUGAAAUGCGUAGAUAUUAGGAGGAACACCAGUGGCGAAGGCGGCUUACUGGACGGUAACUGACGUUGAGGCUCGAAAGCGUGGGGGAGCAAACAGGAUUAGAUACCC